UGUGCACCGACCCCUCUCACUCUCCAGGCUUCAGUGAAAGCCUGCAUUCGCCCCAUAGGACGCACACACAUUUCCCCUUCAUUUUUGGAGGGGGAAAAGUGCAUCCUAUAGGGCGAAAAAUAUGGUACUUGCCUAAACAGUGCCCUUCCAGCAUGCAUUGGAAGGAAAAUUACUUAACCCCUGGUUUGGAUUUUGGGCGUCCUGUUUAUAUGGACCGCUCUCUGUGGUUCUAGAGAGGAAUAAGCUACCAGCCUUGGCAAACCUGGUCCCUCCAGAUGUUGGACUGCACUCCCCAUCAUCCCCAGCCAAUGUGGCUGAUAGUCGGGGAUGAUGGGAGUUGUAGUUCAGCAACAGCUGGAGAGCGCCAACUUGGUCAAGGCUCAGCUAGCUUAUGUAGCCUCUUCUCCCUGGGCACUGCACGGCCCGAUCCAAUAUUGGUUUCACCAGCAUCUAGGGUCUCCCCCAACCUGAAAUCUGUGCCCUGAAAAAAUGCAGUUUUUCAAAAAAGCAGUUGGUCUAGAAGUGAAACAUUUUAAUCAGCUAUAUUGUGAUCUGCUACAUGUAAGCAGCAGCAAAAUUAAGCAAUACCUGUGUGCAUCAGAGUAGCCCUCCAGUAGAGAUGGAGAGGAAGACCAUUUCUUGGAGGGGUAGGCAGAGUAAGAUGCCUGACAAUAAAAAGGCAACUUCACAUUGAUUCUUUGGCUCUCGGAUUUCUUGAUGUUUACCUUCUGUGGGGUGCAGACAAAUAUGGAACCACCCCUUUCCAAGAGGAGCAGGGAAGAGCAGAUUCACAGAGAACCUCGGUACAGAUGUUGCUGCAUUGCGAGGGGAUGUUGGAAAUUGUGGUUUCCAUGUCCAAAGACCAACAUUUCCACACGUGGUACAGAUGGACCGAGUAUUGCGCUGUACCAUUUAGUUACCUUCUGUCCAUAGAGGCGAGAGUUGCACCAAGAUCUCCAGCAACUUUAAGCCUGGUCCUUUCUACUACUGACAUGUGGAAGAAAAUUUCACAAAUCAGGGCCUUUCUCAAGUACAGUGGUGCCCCGCAAGACGAAUGCCUCGCAAGACGGAAAAACCGCUAGACGAAAGGGUUUUCCGUUUUGGAGUUGCUUCGCAGGACGAAUUCUCCUAUGGGCUUGCUUCGCAAGACGAAAAUGUCUUGCGAGUCUUGAAAUUUUUUUUUCGCUUCCCCCCCCCUUUAUCUAAUCUGCUAAGCCUUUAAUAGCCUUUAAUAGCCUUUUAGCAGCUAAUCCCCUAAGCCUUUAAGCCUUUAAUAGCCGCUAAACCGCUAAUAGCGCUAAUAGCGCUAAUCCGUCAAUGGGCUUGCUUCGCAAGACGAAAAAACCGCUAGACGAAGACUCUCGCGGAACGGAUUAAUUUCGUCUUGCGAGGCACCACUGUAAGAUGUGUUUUUUAAGUUUGAUGGGUUUAGCCUCCAUAUUCUUAGGAUGGUUUUUCUCCUAACCUUUCUUUUGUUGGGGUGUCUAGCCUAACGGUGAAUGCUUCCCCCACCCCCCCGAAACAUGGACAAAGCUUUAUUCACAAACAUGGUGCAUCCACUGGCAUGCAUCAGGUAGGGUAAAGGUGGGGACUGUGUGGCUCCCAUCACCCCUGACCAUUAGGCAUGCUGGCUGGGGCCAGUGGGAAUCCACCAUCUGGAGAGCCCCAGAUUUGUCUCUGAGGUUUGCAUGAUGCAACUUCAAAUAUUGAGGCACUAUUUUAUUAUGUGGGGCAGAAGGACAGUGUGGGUGUGUUGGUUGAAUUGGAUAAAAUAGCAAGGAACUUUCUUCUAUAUCUGACCACAUGGUAGUGUUGGUAGAAGCUGUGCUGUGAAGGAAUAUCCUGCAGUGAAAACUCCUAGGGCAUAGAAUCGUCCAACCCCUGGCAGUGCAUUGAACCUGGCUCAAUGUGGGGCUCGAAUCCACAACCCUCAGAUUAAAGAGUCUCAUGCUCUACCGGGUUCAAGGCUAUUUGGUAGAAGAAAAUUCAGUAGUCGAAAAUUUCAAAAUCCAGUUGGAUUUUGAAAUUUUAUUGGAACGAACAAAACGUCACAGCUGGUAAGCACGUUCUCUAGAAGUCAUUGUCAGGCUGGAUGCCGAAGCUGAUUCCCUUUUUUAAAAAAACACACCAUAAAGCCCCACUGUUACUCAGCUCUUUCUUGUGUCUUCAAAAUUCUAAAAAAAAUACGUUGCAUACUUUUAAAAGGAACUUGCAGAUUACAUAUUUUUCCAUUGCUGCUGCUUCAUGUAGUGGUGAGAUCAUCCACAGAUGAUGAUGAUUUAUUUAUUGAUUUUAUAUACCGCCCUAUACCUGCAGGUCUCAGGUGGUUUACAGAAUAGAAUCAAAAUAUAAAGCCACAAAAUCCAUCAUCAAAAUAAAAAUAAUCCAACAACGCCCCCCAAAAACCCACAUUUUAAAAGGGCAUAGGACAAAGGAUCUGCGACGCUGACAGAUGCCCUGUGUCUCACCAAUAACUCUGCCACUUUGUAGUGUCCAUAUCAACAGGCAUUGUGGAGGGGCACUAAGCCACUAAUCAAAGAAAGAAACAUGUCAAAUAUGUCUAUUACCCUAAGGCUGAACUUCACCAAACUUGUAUACUGCAGGGUGUAAAAGGCAGGAAGCACGGCUUGAUCGGGGUUAGCUGUGCUCACUGUGAUUCUCUGAAGUGGGUCAUAAGGAUUCAGACCAGCCCUUCUUUGCCCUCAAUAUAUCCGCUCCCUAAACAUGGGGACUCAGUUUCACCCGUCACUCACUCAUGGCUCCAGCAUUGUGUCCAGGAGUGCUUCUUUUCUUCAGUCCGGAACCUGCUCCUGAUCAAUGUCAACUGCACAAAGGCUUUCAGUAAUACUUGCAAUUAAGUCAUUUAUUUCUGAGAGUUGAUAAACAUCGGCCUACUUCUCCCUUUUCCCCCUCCCCUCUCCCCUUUAAAUAUCCUAUUCCCGUUUUCAUUUCCCGAACCGCUUAUUUUCCUUGUGCCGCAGCUCAAAGAAAAUUUUAUACUUCAAUUCCACCGAUUGUUUUUUAUUUCAAUGGGACUUUCGUGCAGAAAUCUAGUACACUGUGGGGCGUUUGUUCUUCUACCACAUCACCUAAAAAGCAGCCUCCUCUGUAUUCCAGAGAGGAGGCAACCGGACGUAGGCCGGAUCCGUAGCUGUUUUGUUGUUUUAGAUGUGGUAGCCAGCUGCUGCCCUUGACCACUAGAGUGUCGAGGCCGUCAAACAAGGAACUCCCUCCCUGGGGACACUCUGAAAGAAUCUGCUGCUGCUUCCCUUUUGCACAAGCCUAGCAGAAAGCUCACUUUCUAUAUCCUGUAGCAGACCAAAGAGGAGAGGACAAAGUUAACUUCAGUCCCAGUGCACAGGACUCUGGAAUUGUGUGACUCUGUUCUUCUUGUUCAUAAGACAAAAGUCCAGGCAGAGGAGGAGGUGAUGGCAGACUCUUGUGGUGUCACAGGAGGAAAUGGACGCAUAGGAAGAAGCUACUGUGGUGCAUGUUUUCUGCUCCUUGCUAGGUGUCCAUUCUCUUCAAAAUACUACACUAUGUACAACUCCAAUCUGUUGCUUAAAGUGGGGUGGAGUGAGGGAAAAGGCUUUUUUUCCCCCAAUGGGAUUUAGGCAAUGUUAGAAAGGGGUGGAAAUGCUCCCCUGCAGAUUGCGUGAUGGCUCAAAUAAAACCUGCUGGGUUUCCCUUGGUUCCUCACAUCCGUACAUUCUGCUGCUACGAAUGCUUCACCCCAUGUGCAAAAGCCAAUUUACAGCCCCCAACCACGUGUGUACCCCUGCAAGCAAGCCUCAAGCGAGAAAGCAAAUUGGUCUGUGCCCUCUCUUCUCAGCUCAUCUAAGUAUGGAAUGAUUACACUGAAGUCUUCAAUUUUCAGUCCCAACGCUUUAAAUCAGACUUACACCCACACCUCCUAGUUAUGCUACUUGCACAGUCACUGCCCAGCUUCUUGUUCUCUCCGUGGCCAAAGGAUAGGAAGCAAAGAUACCUCCUUGAAAGCAGGUGGCUUAGUCCACUCACCUUUAUGAAUGAGCUUUUGAUACACCUCCCACCAGUGCAAUAGCCCAAACUCCCACCUCUAUAUUUUUAUGUAUAGGCUGUCUCAAAUGCAUGUGUGUGUGUUUUAGGUUAUCAAGUGUUUAAUUUAUUGUCUGACAAUGAUCAUUCGAAAUAAAUUUCCAGUAAUGGUCUCCUUUCAUACAUAGUAAUAAGAGGCUCUUUGGUCCUGCUUGGGUAUGGUCUUGGAGAGGGAAAAUGGCAAUAGUGAACAAGCUGGUUUAUUUGAAAGGAAUUUGCUAUUCCUCAUUUUAUCAGUGAACCCUAGCCGACACCGGAACACAGUUUAAGGGGGAUGGAAUGAGGCUAAAGUGGAGAGGUGUAAAAAUCUGCACCAUAAAACAAAAGGCCCUUACAUUAUUUCUUCUGCACUUAAUGUAUAAAUAGAAAGACCAUUUACCCAGAUAGUACAAAGCUGAGCUAUGCUUCAGAAUGCCAUUUGAGUGUCAGGAAAACCAGGCACUGACUAAACUGUACAACGGGGUGAAUCAACUCUAUCAGCUUUAGAACUCCUGUACCUUUUAGAUAACUGCUUUACUGCAUAUGUAAUUUCCACUAAAAAUAGCUGCACCUGUCAUAAUUCCCUCAC
rnacentral:lncRNA from 1 species